rnacentral:rRNA from 1 species
GAAUUUUUACAGUGUCAAUUGUUGAAUGUUGUUAGAAGUGGUUAGUGAGUAAUAAAAAACUAGUACAAGAAGUUUAGAAGGUAAGUUGGUGAAAGUUAAGGGUGAAGGAGUUGAAAAUUAUAAAAAGUUUUUUAGGAAUGCGGGGAAGCAGUAAAAGGGUAAUUAAAGUUAUAAAAUUUAACGGCAGUGAAAAAUUUUGAAAAAAAUUUAAAAAUUGUGCAAAAGGCAAUGGUUUUAAAAAAAGCAUUUAACAAAAUUAAAUAAGUGUUGAAGAAAAUUCGAUUUUUUUUUAAAAAUUAAAUUAACAAUUUUAAUAUUUUCAAUAAAAUAAAGUUAUAAAAACAAAUAAAAUAAAUUAAUUAAAAAUGAAAUUAUCAAGUGUAAUAUAAUUAAAAUCAUAGAACAUUGGAUGCUAAGUUAAAGGAUUCUUUACAUUGGCGUUUAUUAAGGUGUAAUGAACCAGUAGAAUUGACCCGCCCCGAAUAGCAGUAACUCUAUAGCCAUGUCGGGUUGGAAGUUAGAUUUAGGGGGAGGUGAGUUUAGCCAAUAUGAAAUAGCAAGUAGCCAUCCGCCGCUGAGACAGCGUGGCAAAUGCGGAGAAAACAUUCCUUAGAGAUGUGCAAAUUUCCACCAUAUAAGGCAUGCCGGAAAAUGGAGAGUCUAAGCAUGCGCGAAAUAAAAAAGCGCCAGGUCCUCUUUCGGGCCUGGGAGGGAGGGCGCCGAGGCGAAUGCGCGGCGUGCCUUGAGGCCGGACUUGCCCCCGAUCCGGGGUACCCGGGAACCCCCCGGGGGGAAAGGUUUGGCUUAAGCCAGCUGGCUGAGAUCGCUGCUCCGAGGUAGGGCAUAGCCGGGGUUCCCCUUCCCACCCCUGGGGACAUUCACCCGCACGCUCAAGGGGCUCGUCCCGUCCCCCCCCGGGGCAGCCCGCUGACAGGCCACUACGGCGGAAGCCCGGUCCAGCUGGGCCGUCCGUCGACGAACGCACCCGCUGCCACCUCCCAAAAGGGGGCCC